rnacentral:rRNA from 1 species
CGAACGCUGGCGGCAGGCUUAACACAUGCAAGUCGAACGCACCUUUCGGGGUGAGUGGCAGACGGGUGAGUAACGCGUGGGAAUCUACCCUUCUCUACGGGAUAGCUCCGGGAAACUGGAAUUAAUACCGUAUACGUCCUGAGGGAGAAAGAUUUAUCGGGGAAGGAUGAGCCCGCGUUGGAUUAGCUAGUUGGUGGGGUAAAGGCCUACCAAGGCGACGAUCCAUAGCUGGUCUAAGAGGAUGAUCAGCCACAUUGGGACUGAGACACGGCCCAAACUCCUACGGGAGGCAGCAGUGGGGAAUAUUGGACAAUGGGCGCAAGCCUGAUCCAGCCAUGCCGCGUGAGUGAUGAAGGCCCUAGGGUUGUAAAGCUCUUUCAGGGGGGACGAUAAUGACGGUACCCACAGAAGAAGCCCCGGCUAACUUCGUG